UCCCGUAUAGCUCAGUUGGUAAAGAAUCUGCCUGCAAUGUAGGAGACCCCGGUUUGAUUCCUGGGUCGGGAA
rnacentral:tRNA from 1 species